UACGUAGGGUGCAAGCGUUGUCCGGAAUCAUUGGGCGUAAAGCGCGUGUAGGCGGCCUGGAAAGUCUGGUGUGAAAUCUUGCGGCUCAACCGCAAGCUGUCACUGGAUACUGUCAGGCUUGAGUCCGGAAGAGGAGAGUGGAAUUCCUGGUGUAGCGGUGGAAUGCGCAGAUAUCAGGAGGAACACCAAUGGCGAAGGCAGCUCUCUGGUACGUGACUGACGCUGAGACGCGAAAGCGUGGGGAGCGAACAGG
rnacentral:rRNA from 1 species